GGGCCAAUGCACAAGCCCUCCUGCUUCUCAGAGGCGACAGGGACCCUGAAAUGGUGAAACGGGGAUACUGUUAGUCAGCAGGGAAAUUUUCUGCUUCUGAAAACCUCUCGGAGAUUCCUCUGCGCGGCACCUCCAGCUGCCUCUGCGUGCACCGUGUCAGGGUAUUAAAAUAGCUCAGGCUUGAUGACUUCACUAGUUCGCACCAACAGGCCAGUUGGCAGAAUGCUAAUGCAGUCUGCUCGGGGUGGAAGACAUUUUUUCCUUCCCUGCACCCCCUAAUAGUAAUGCUUAGUUUUAUUUUGACUCUGGAAGAAGUCUCCUUUCUGAGGUUCAAUUCAGCUCCAACCUAAUGCAAAUAUCUCAAGAUGCCUUUAAAAGGCUUCAACUAAAAGAGGUCACCUAAAGCCACGACAAGCAACCAGACUCUAUAUAAUCUCUUAUGUGAAAUUUCAAGGACAUCAAAUCUGCAAGGGAGAACAGCAGCCGAUUUGGAUUCCAGAGAGAUUAACUAAAACAAUUUCUACAGGCCAAAAGGAAGAUGCUUUGACUCAAAUCCAUAACAGCUGAUAUCCAGAACUCCAGUUGGGCUAUUCUUACAUCUGCAACAGAACCAGGAUGCUUUUUUCAAUAUCUAUUUUAUUAUUGCCCUUUGCCAUAUCAUGAAGUUCUAUUUUGUUUUUUGAGCUCAUACAGACCUAGGUUAAUGUUUUGCUGAUCAGUUCUAUUUUUUGACUAUAGAGUUUUUAAACAUUGCAUUGGAGAUUUCACCUGUAAAAAGUUAUAAGGCCUUUACUAUAAUGUUAUGUGUUGUAUGUAUUAUGUGUGCACACUUCUGUUUUGUGUUGUAUGUCUGUAUGUGCGUAUGUCCAUAUAUCAUAUAUGAGGAUCGCUCAUGAAUAAAUGGAUCCGAAUUUUUUUUAUUCACGUGAUUUUAAUGGUUUAAUUUAGAUUGGGUAAACAGCUGUUGAAAAUUGUUUUAAUAUGUGAACAAAUAAGGAGGUUAACAGAUCUGUUUGUUUACUUUCACCUUUCCUUCUCAUUAUAUUUAAUAAUUCUGUUCAGGAUAAUGUAAAUUGUUCAAAAAAUUGUUUUCUUAGUGCCUGUUGGAAUGUUACAUAAUUUUUUUCUUAGCAUCAUUGCCAAAAUUCCUAUCUUCAUCCCAGUGCCGGUGAAGACAAAGAUAAAACCAAACUACAGCUUCUUCGAUAGUUAUCACAACAAACUGUAAAAACUGAUGCAUCAAUGAAUAAUAACUCAACAAGUAAUGCUCAAUUAAGGAGUCGAUUUACUUUGGGAGGAAAUGGACAUAUUGACAGAUUCCUGUGCUUUGAAUUGCUUGCAGACCUUGCCUGGACUAUGUAUCACUUGUAUGCAUUGUGAACUAUCUGUUGGUACAGCGAAUUGUGGUAGUGCUGGAGUAUUUUUGCUGAUGGUGUCACCGGUGGUACAAUUUUUCAAAGGAGCCCUCAAUUGGCUUAGUGUCAUGGCAUUUUGCAUCCUCCUCCCUUCUACUAGUGAUGGUCUAAAAUUUGGGGGCCAACAGAGGUGAGGCAAAAAACCUCACCCCCCCACUGGUGCAAAAAGGCCUAUCCACAAGUAUGGCUGUAUGCUGGACCGGUAGUCAGUGACGGGUAUGAUCCAAUUGCAGUGGUACCAACCUAAGACAGGAGGCUGACACCUAGAGGUCAGUUCAUCCGAUGACGGGUAAGGACCAUAUGUUGAAUUGGACUGCCUAACAGGCACGGUCCCUAAGCCACAUUGCUUGUUGUUUAAUUAAACAAAAGGGGGGAGAGAGAGGCUUGUGGAAAGCCAGUGGUGGCAGUUGAGGCUCUGAGGGUUUUUCCUGAGAGGCUGUUUUGUUUGGCGUGUGUGGUUCUAAAAAUAAAGUUAGUUUCUUUUGACAAGUGGCUCCUGAUUGUGCCCAGCCAGACUGCGGCAAACUAUUUUUUAAAACUUACUAUAUCUGGAGUUUCCCACCCCAUCCCACCCAAAAAAGCAUACACAUUAAAAGUUUGGCCGCCAGCCUGAGGCACUAAGGGAGGUGGUGGAACCUUUGUAGGUGGUUAGCAGAAGGAAACUAGGUUGUUGGUGAUAUGCCUUUGAAGGUGAUAUUUGGGACCCUGCCCUUUCCUCUUUUUCUCUUCCUAGCCUCCAUGAAGUGGGAAGCCUCCUCUACCAGGCACUCCAUCUUGCCAUGAUGUACUUACUCACCACAGAUCCAAAGCAACAUGGCCAAGUGACCAUGGACUGAAACCUGUGGAACCAUGAGACAAAAUAGAUCUUUCCUCCUUGGAAGUUGAUUAUCUCAGACAUUUUGUCACAGUGGAAGGAAGCAAAACAACACAGACAAGAACCUAAGACAAGUGUUAAAAAUUACACCUUGCCAUGGUUAAAGCACUAGAUAAAUGAGAGAGAAUCAGGUGUAUAAGCAUGAAGACUUCCAGGAGACAAGUGCUCAAAGUAGUCUUAUUUAACAUUUUUAUAAAUGAUGUGAGGGAAGGAAUACCCAGGAAAGUAGAUAAGUUUGUCUUAAGCAAUUCUAGUUACCAGAAUGCCAAGUAACAGAGAUAAACAUCUUUUUAGCAUCAAUGUGACAAAUAUGGUCAGACCCUUUUAACCAAUAUCCACUUAACCAACUGUCCAGGUUAACCAAUGAUCUCUGUGCCCUUUGUAAAUCAUACUGACUGAUGCACCUGGAAUGUUGCCAGCCAGUUGGUUCCUCUCUGAGCAGACUGAAAACUUCUGUCCCAUCAGCUGAGCCGAAUUCGAGUAUUUUUUAUCCUAAACCUAAUACAAUACCUUGUGGUAAGAAUAUGACUUAAUUGCAUAACAUAUUAAAGAGAGAAAACAGGAGUAUGAAGAGCAGUACAAUAUCUGUCUGUGAAUGCUUUGAAAAGAUUAGCCUGGUAUAAAAUAAUGGUAUAUGUUGACAAUGAAUCCAGUGUGGGAAUAAUUAUACUAGGAAAGAUAAAUCAGAAAUAUUUUCAAAAGCUUCUGCCUCGAUUUAGAGAAUACAAACUGGAAAUAAUGGACAAUUCAUGAUUGAGUGUGGUUUUGUGAAGAAACAUAAAACCAAGUUCUUUCUGUGUGUCCAUACUAGAAGUCUAGGCCCUACGUCAAAAGUUUCACCAAGAAAAUGUAAGUUUUGUGUUUGAAUAAAAUAAGUUUAAGAUAUUGUUAAGAUUUACAUGUGGUGUCCCCCCAAACUCACGUGUGUAUGAGACAAGGCAAGUAGGUUCAGAGGAGAAAGGAUUGGGCUGUAAGAGUCUUAACCCGAUCAGUAAAUUAAUCCCCUGAUAGGGAUUAACUGAGUGCUAACUGAAGUGGCAGGGUGUGGUUGAAGGAGGUGGGAAUUGGGGUGUGGCUUUGGGUAUAUAUUUGUAUCUGGCAAGCGGAGUUUUUUCUCUCUCUGCUUUCUGAUCAUGAAGUGAGUUGCUUUUCCUUCCACCACACUCUCCCAGCAUGAUGUCCUGCCUCACCUUGAGCCUCCAGGAAUGGAGGCAGCCUUCUAUGGACUAAGACCUCUGAAACCAUGAGCCCUCAAAUAAACUUUUCCUCCUUA